rnacentral:rRNA from 1 species
UACGUAGGGUGCGAGCGUUGUCCGGAAUUAUUGGGCGUAAAGGGCCCGUAGGCGGUCUGUUGCGUCGGGAGUGAAAACUCAGGGCUUAACCCUGAGCCUGCUUCCGAUACGGGCAGACUAGAGGUAUGCAGGGGAGAACGGAAUUCCUGGUGUAGCGGUGAAAUGCGCAGAUAUCAGGAGGAACACCGGUGGCGAAGGCGGUUCUCUGGGCAUUACCUGACGCUGAGGAGCGAAAGUGUGGGGAGCGAACAGG